GCGACUUUAGCUCAGUUGGGAGAGCGUUAGACUGAAGAUUUAAAGGUCCCUGAUUCGAUCCCGGGAAAUCGCA
rfam:Coccomyxa subellipsoidea C-169, whole genome shotgun sequence.